CAUUCAUUUCAGCCUUUUCAUUUUAGCGUCUCUUCUUUAGUCUCUCUUCUCCGCCGCUCCUGCCAUUAAGGCUCUGCAGGAGCCAGAUCGCGACCGCAAGAAGGUUAUAAACAUGAAGACCAGAUCGAUGGCCAAGACCUGAGCGGGACCGUGAAGCGGUGAAGGAGAAUCUUUCGGUUGGAUGCACGAGAUUACGGACGGCGAUGUUGAGGUGCUGGUAUGAACCCAAGAGAAAGCUUAACGGAGCAAGGAUCAGAUGAUCGAUCAUGAUGUUUCCCAGCACCAGUACCCUCGCGGCCUCGCCUUGUGUUUAGGUUUGUGGAACAACCUGACAGCAAUGAGAAAAGUCUGGAUCAAAAGACCAAAGUCAAGUUCCAAAUUAUGAGUCUGAAGGUCAAAGCUGAAACGGACUAUGCUCCUGAGCUGUUUGAUGAGCAAAAGGAUCAAAGUAGCAGUUGAGCGAAUUUUGUGGGUUGUAUUUUUAGAUGCAGAGCACCCUACUCCUGUAAGUUGAAAUCUGACUUG